UAGCCAAGACGUUCUGGUCCAACCUACUCGAAGAUUUUUAGUGAUGACAAGCUAGCGACAAUUAUCAUCGUGAUAAUGUGCUCUCUCUCAACGACAAAGAUAUAUAGCACAUACCACAAGGUCCACAAAAACGGUUGAUCAUCAGUACCUACACCUACACAUACAUUAUCAACUCCAAAGUGAAAGAGGGAGAGAGACAAUGGCCAUGACAACGAAAAAUGCCUAAGACAAAAGCACAUGAUGAGGAGUGCCUGAAACAAUACGUCGAUGCGCCUCCAAACUAUUGUACGGCUAGGAUAUAUCCGUCAUUGUGUUAUUAUACGUAAUGAAAUAAUCAAAGGUAAGUGGUCCAAAUAAUUAUGUAACAAUGAAUAAUUAAAAGAAAAAUAAGAAACGCUAGACGUUUCACGUUUGCUUGUGAAUUAUCAUUACAAUAUAUUUCAUAAUGAUGAUAAGUGGAAAUAUGUCGAUCUCCUUAAAAUCGAUCUCGCACAAGCUAGAUCAAGCUGUGUCACGAAUAUUUCCAUUUAUUUUCCUUUCUUUCAGCCUUGGAUACGCAAACCAAGUUGCAAAAAUCGCUUUCUUUCUUUUUGUUUUCUACUUAUGAUGCUUGUACCAGAUUGGCUUCAGCUGUAUACCAUGAAUAAAAUGGGGUUAGAUGUGA